rnacentral:rRNA from 1 species
CUACGGGGUGCUGCAGUGAGGAAUAUUGCACAAUGGGGGGAACCCUGAUGCAGCAACGCCGCGUGGAGGAUGAUGCAUUUCGGUGUGUAAACUCCUUUUAUAUGUCAAGAAAAUGACGGUAGCAUAUGAAUAAGCACCGGCUAACUCCGUGCCAGCAGCCGCGGUAAUAUGGAGGGUGCAAGCGUUACUCGGAAUCACUGGGCGUAAAGGACGCGUAGGCGGGUUGGAAAGUCAGGUGUGAAAUCCUACAGCUUAACUGUAGAACUGCACUUGAAACUUCUAAUCUAGAGUAUGGGAGGGGGAGAUGGAAUUAGUGGUGUAGGGGUAAAAUCCGUAGAUAUCACUAGGAAUACCUAAAGCGAAGGCGAUCUCCUGGAACAUUACUGACGCUAAGGCGUGAAAGCGUGGGGAGCAAACAGGAUUAGAUACCCUGGUAGUC